AUUGAACGCUGGCGGCAGGCCUAACACAUGCAAGUCGAACGGUAACAGGAAGAAGCUUGCUUCUUUGCUGACGAGUGGCGGACGGGUGAGUAAUGUCUGGGAAACUGCCUGAUGGAGGGGGAUAACUACUGGAAACGGUAGCUAAUACCGCAUAACGUCGCAAGACCAAAGAGGGGGACCUUCGGGCCUCUUGCCAUCGGAUGUGCCCAGAUGGGAUUAGCUAGUAGGAGGGGUAACGGCUCACCUAGGCGACGAUCCCUAGCUGGUCUGAGAGGAUGACCAGCCACACUGGAACUGAGACACGGUCCAGACUCCUACGGGAGGCAGCAGUGGGGAAUAUUGCACAAUGGGCGCAAGCCUGAUGCAGCCAUGCCGCGUGUAUGAAGAAGGCCUUCGGGUUGUAAAGUACUUUCAGCGGGGAGGAAGGGAGUAAAGUUAAUACCUUGGCUCAUUGACGUUACCCGCAGAAGAAGCACCGGCUAACUCCGUG
rnacentral:rRNA from 1 species